rnacentral:rRNA from 1 species
AGUUUGAUCCUGGCUCAGAUUGAACGCUGGCGGCAUGCCUUACACAUGCAAGUCGAACGGCAGCAUGGGUGCUUGCACCUGAUGGCGAGUGGCGAACGGGUGAGUAAUGCAUCGGAACGUACCUUUCAGUGGGGGAUAACGUAGCGAAAGUUACGCUAAUACCGCAUAUUCUGUGCGCAGGAAAGCAGGGGAUCGCAAGACCUUGCGCUGAUUGAGCGGCCGAUGUCAGAUUAGCUAGUUGGUGAGGUAAAGGCUCACCAAGGCGACGAUCUGUAGCGGGUCUGAGAGGAUGAUCCGCCACACUGGAACUGAGACACGGUCCAGACUCCUACGGGAGGCAGCAGUGGGGAAUUUUGGACAAUGGGGGCAACCCUGAUCCAGCCAUGCCGCGUGAGUGAAGAAGGCCUUCGGGUUGUAAAGCUCUUUCGGCCGGGAAGAAAUCGCAUGGGUUAAUACCCUGUGCGGAUGACGGUACCGGCAUAAGAAGCACCGGCUAACUACGUGCCAGCAGCCGCGGUAAUACGUAGGGUGCGAGCGUUAAUCGGAAUUACUGGGCGUAAAGCGUGCGCAGGCGGUUUGAUAAGACAGGCGUGAAAUCCCCGGGCUCAACCUGGGAACUGCAUUAGUGACUGUAUAGCUGGAGUGCGGCAGAGGGGGGUGGAAUUCCACGUGUAGCAGUGAAAUGCGUAGAGAUGUGGAGGAACACCAAUGGCGAAGGCAGCCCCCUGGGUCGAUACUGACGCUCAUGCACGAAAGCGUGGGUAGCAAACAGGAUUAGAUACCCUGGUAGUCC